rnacentral:misc_RNA from 1 species
CCAAGAUAUCUCUAGAUAAAUGUACACUACUUUGCUUGCAUUAUAUAUCACUGAAGUUUUGCUUUCCACUUUUAUAGGAAAUCUUUUCGCCCAUUUUCUUGUAGAAAGGUCUGUAGCAGAAACAGCUUCUACAAUGCAACCCUUUAACGGAAAAGCUGCAUGGGAACCAUCUGAAUCUGUCAAAACAAGAAAUCGAUUCAUGAUUUUUGCAUAUUUCUUAACAGGAUUAACCUCAAAGAGAUCCUUUUUCUUCUUUUGCUCUUUUGGCACUUUAUCC